GAAGUCGUAACAAGGUUUCCGUAGGUGAACCUGCGGAAGGAUCAUUG
rfam:Gossypium arboreum cultivar AKA8401 contig_98023_3, whole genome shotgun sequence.